rnacentral:rRNA from 1 species
GACGAACGCUGGCGGCGUGCUUAACACAUGCCAGUCGAACGGUGAAGGGACUGGUUUUGCUGGUCCUGGAUGAGUGGCGAACGGGUGAGUAACACGUGAGUAACCUGCCCCCUUCUUCUGGAUAACCGCAUGAAAGUGUGGCUAAUACGGGAUAUUCUGGGUCUGUCGCAUGGUGGGCCUGGGAAAGAUUGCGCCUUUUUUGGUGUUUUUGGUGGGGGAUGGGCUCGCGGCCUAUCAGCCUGUUGGUGGGGUGAUGGCCUACCAAGGCGGUGACGGGUAGCCGGCCUGAGAGGGUGGACGGUCACACUGGGACUGAGACACGGCCCAGACUCCUACGGGAGGCAGCAGUGGGGAAUAUUGCACAAUGGGCGCAAGCCUGAUGCAGCGACCCCGCGUGAGGGAUGGAGGCCUUCGGGUUGUGAACCUCUUUCGCCAGUGAAGCAGGCCUGCCUCUUUUUGUGGGUGGGUUGACGGUAGCUGGAUAAGAAGCGCCGGCUAACUACGUG